rnacentral:rRNA from 1 species
AGAUUGAACGCUGGCGGCAGGCCUAACACAUGCAAGUCGAGCGGCAGCACGGGUACUUGUACCUGGUGGCGAGCGGCGGACGGGUGAGUAAUGCCUAGGAAUCUGCCUGAUAGUGGGGGAUAACGCUCGGAAACGGACGCUAAUACCGCAUACGUCCUACGGGAGAAAGCAGGGGACCUUCGGGCCUUGCGCUAUCAGAUGAGCCUAGGUCGGAUUAGCUAGUUGGUGGGGUAAUGGCUCACCAAGGCGACGAUCCGUAACUGGUCUGAGAGGAUGAUCAGUCACACUGGAACUGAGACACGGUCCAGACUCCGUACGGGAGCAGCA